rnacentral:rRNA from 1 species
ACGCGAAGAACCUUACCAGGUCUUGACAUCUUGCGCCAACCCUAGAGAUAGGGCGUUUCCUUCGGGAACGCAAUGACAGGUGGUGCAUGGUCGUCGUCAGCUCGUGUCGUGAGAUGUUGGGUUAAGUCCCGCAACGAGCGCAACCCUUGUUACUAGUUGCCAGCAUUAAGUUGGGCACUCUAGUGAGACUGCCGGUGACAAACCGGAGGAAGGUGGGGACGACGUCAGAUCAUCAUGCCCCUUAUGACCUGGGCUACACACGUGCUACAAUGGACGGUACAACGAGUCGC